AACUCUUGACAUCCAGAGAAGAGGCCAGAGAUAGCUUUGUGCCUUCGGGAACUCUGAGACAGGUGCUGCAUGGCUGUCGUCAGCUCGUGUUGUGAAAUGUUGGGUUAAGUCCCGUAACGAGCGCAACCCUUGUCCUUAUUUGCCAGCACGUAAUGGUGGGAACUCUAAGGAGACUGCCGGUGACAAACCGGAGGAAGGUGGGGACGACGUCAAGUCAUCAUGGCCCUUACGAGUUGGGCUACACACGUGCUACAAUGGCCGGUACAGAGGGCUGCAAACCUGCGAAGGUAAGCUAAUCUCACAAAACCGGUCGUAGUCCGGAUUGGAGUCUGCAACUCGACUCCAUGAAGUCGGAAUCGCUAGUAAUCGUGGAUCAGAAUGCCACGGUGAAUACGUUCCCGGGCCU
rnacentral:rRNA from 1 species